GACGUAGGGCGCGAGCGUUGUCCGGAUUUAUUGGGCGUAAAGAGCUCGUAGGCGGCUUGUUACGUCGUUCGUGAAAACUUGGGGCUCAACCCCAAGCUUGCGGUCGAUACGGGCAGGACUAGAGUUCGGUAGGGGAGACUGGAAUUCCUGGUGUAGCGGUGAAAUGCGCAGAUAUCAGGAGGAACACCGGUGGCGAAGGCGGG
rnacentral:rRNA from 1 species